rnacentral:rRNA from 1 species
UACGUAGGUGACAAGCGUUGUCCGGAUUUACUGGGCGUAAAGAGCGCGCAGGCGGUCGAUCAAGUCGAGUGUGAAAGCCCCCGGCUCAACUGGGGAGGGUCAUUCGAAACUGGUCGACUCGAAGGCAGGAGAGGGUAGUGGAAUUCCCGGUGUAGUGGUGAAAUGCGUAGAUAUCUGCAGGAACACCCGUGGCGAAAGCGGCGCGCUGGACCACUACUGACGCUGAGGAACGAAAGCUAGGGGAGCAAACAGG